GGCCCUAUAGUGUAGUUGGAUAACAUGUAAGCUUGCGGAGCUUAAGAUCGUGGGUUCAAGUCCCACUAGGGUCA
rnacentral:tRNA from 1 species